rnacentral:misc_RNA from 1 species
GAUGAAGAACGCAGCGAAAUGCGAUAAGUAAUGUGAAUUGCAGAAUUCAGUGAAUCAUCGAAUCUUUGAACGCACCUUGCGCCCUUUGGACAUUCCGAAGGGCAUGCCUGUUUGAGUAUCAUGAACACCUCAACUCUCACGGCUUGUCCGUGAUGAGCUUGGACUUUGGGGGUCUUGCCGGCCUGUGGUCGGCUCCUCUCAAAUGGAUCAGCUUGCCAGUGUUUGGUGGCAUCACAGGUGUGAUAACUAUCUGCGCUUGUGGUUUUCCAACAGAUAACCUUCAGUGAUAUGGAGGUUCGCUGGAGCUCACAAAUGUCUCUCCUUAGUGAGGACAGCUCUUUGAACGUUUGAUCUCAAAUCAGGUAGGACUACCCGCUGAACUUAAGCAUAUCAAUAGCGGAGGA